AACGAACGCUGGCGGCGCGUCUUACACAUGCAAGUCGAACGGCAGGAAGGGGCUUGCCCCUUCUGAGAGUGGCGGACUGGUGAGUAACACGUGGGUGACAUACCUUUUAGUUGGGGAUAGCUAUUAGAAAUAGUAGGUAAUACCGAAUGUUACCGUACCUGUUAGAGGGGUACGAGGAAAGGAGCUAAGGCUUCGCUAAAAGAAUGGCUCGCGGCCCAUUAUGCUCGUUGGUGAGGUAACGGCCCACCAAGGCGAUGAUGGGUAUCCGGCCUGAGAGGGUGAACGGACACAUUGGGACUGAGAUACGGCCCAGACUUCUACGGGAGGCAGCAGUUAAGAAUAUUCCGCAAUGGACGAAAGUCUGACGGAGCGACGCCGCGUGGAUGAAGAAUGCCGAAAGGUUGUAAAAUCCUUUUAAGCCUGAUGAAUAAGCACAGUAGGGAAUGAUUGUGCGGUGACCGUAGGGCUUGAAUAAGCACCGGCUAAUUACGUG
rnacentral:rRNA from 1 species